rnacentral:sRNA from 1 species
UGGAAGUGUAUGCUAUAACCACUUUGGAAAGAUAUUUGACAGUUUUCUGCAAGGUUAAAUUUAUAACUUUAUGAUGCAGCAGCUUUAUUCCUUUUCUUUUACUCAAGAGAAAUGGCAUAUAAUAAAAGGAUUAUGCAAAAAUGUUUAUUUUAGACUUAAUCAGAGUACUUUCACCUGGAUGCACCCCCUUAACACAAUGUAUCCACAAAUUGUGAUACACACUAACCAACGGAUAGCAUGGAAAAUGGAAAAUUGUUUAAAGGAAUCAGCUACUUCUACACAUGAUGGUGUUGAUGAAUUUCCUAAGACAGCCAGUUAUAUAAUCUGUACUUAGUGUGCUGAGAGUAUUAAACUGGUGGCUUCCUGAAAUGAUAAUGGUCCCCAAGGAAGGAAGAGGGAGUCUUCUGGGGUUACAGAAGUGACUUGUACCACAGUUGUUGUGAUAUCAACAGCUAUACACAUUUCUGAAAACACAUCAAGCUACAUAGUUUAUUACAUUAACUUUGAGACAAUACAGUUGGUCCAAAUGGUUUAUUACAUUUUUACAUUAAACAUUUUUGUUAAAGCUUUUCCUUUGCUACAAAAUCCUCAGAUUUACCAGUCAUGUGUUUGCUAGUUUUGGGGGGAGAUAUUCUUAGCUCCCCAUUAAAAAGACAGCAAGUCAUGAGAAGCAAACGUUGUUGUUGAUUUUCUCAGUGGUCAUUCUGGGGUUAGAAGUUUUUCUUCUUGAUUCCAGAACUUUGAUGUUUUUUUAAUUCACAAAAGCCAAUUUUAACCAAAACAGUAAAAUCAUUAUUGCUUAAUUAGAAGAUUUCACAGUAGUUUGUAGUUGAGAUGAGAGAAAGUCACAAUCGUUUUUAUGUUGUUGUUAAAUAAUAAUAAAAAGUAUGCACCAUCCCCCAUUAGUGCCAUCUACUGUCUGGCCCCAGCAUUCUCACUGCCUCCAUGGCUAGCCCCAUGCAGCGACCGCCCAUCUCAGAGUUAGCUGUCAGAAAUCUCAGUAACCCUGUAAAAUCAAAACUCUAGAGGCUUGUAAUUUAUCAGUCAGAUUUACAUGAGUAAAUUCUUAACCCACAAACACCCAAACAAAGAACUUAGAGCCAAUUGAUAUUGAUAUAAGCAGCCCACUUAGAUUGGACAAAUUGUCCUAUAGUAAUCUAUCCCUUACAUGAUAUUCAUAGCUACCUGUAGCCACAAGGAUCUGGGUCACCCUUCUUUCCUCCGUCUUCCUUCCCCCUUCCCUCCUUCCCGUCUCUCCCAAUGUGAGGAGCUGACCUCACAUACUCCAUUACAAGAUGGCGCAUCCGGCAGGACACACCUAGUAAAAAGGUGUUGCUAGAACAUACCCCCAGAAAUGAACCACAAAAGCCCAGGGUGUUGUGCUCCUACUGCUGUCCUGCAUAACCAGACCAGCUAUGUGGUGAACAAACAGAUGGCUUGGAAUGACAGUGGCUGUCCUGCUGUGUCUUCUCUGAGAUCAAGCCAUCCAUGAGAGAGGUCAGCUUGAAAUUCUCCGCAGGUGCUUGAUUUCUCCACCCUCCCCGCAAGGCGGGUAGAUUUCACAGCCACAGACUACGGAUUUUGAAGAGAUGAAUAAUUGUUUUCUUAGCAGGUUGAGCUGGUCUCUGGUGCUGAUCGUGAUCAGCUGUUGGGUUGGUCUCUUCCCGCAAGGCAACUUGGGAGUUUCCCUACCGCCUGCUGUGACGUGUGCAGCGAUCCUUGAAGAAGAACUCACUACCCAAGUAUCCUGGCUAAAGCUGCAUCUAUUUCAGUUACCCUUUAGAGCUCAGUUAACAUUUCAGAUAUUUGUAAACCCGUAAAAGUCAAUAUGUGAGGAACCAAAGCACGCGGAAUUUUAAAAGCUUCAUCGUAAAAUGAACGGAUGUUCAUGACAAGAAAUUUGGAAAAUAAACAUGAUACAAAAACAGACAUUCUUAAAAUCCCAUCUCCCUGUGAUGGCUGACGUUGUUGACAGUGGCUUACCUCAGCACCAUAAAGAUCCCAGCUGAGGUUUCCAUGGCAACGGCAGCAGCGACUGUGAGGGUUUUUUUUCCCCCACUCUUCCUUCAAGGUUUUCAAGCUAUAAUUUAAAAAAAAAAAAAGUCCUUCUUUUAAAGACACUAGAACGUGUUUAGGUUCCUUUCGUGAGUCGGUUAUGAGACUGCAGGGUUCCUUGGGCAGUAAGUAUAAUCUAAGUCAAGAGUUCUGUUACUAACGAGCUAUGUGAUUUGGGACAACUCAGUUGCCCUCUGUAAGCCUCUAUGUCCCCAUCUACAAAAUGUAAACAAAAAAUCAUCUAUAUGAAGGACUCUGGGAAGUAUACACAAACCGUCCGGCACAACCUGUGACUUACACUAACAGUAACCACUCGGAAUAAGUGUUCUGCAGCUGUGAGCCUUUGCUGUGAACACAGUAGAUGUGCUGUGCUGUUCAUAGAAGGGUUUAUAGACUCCCUUAUUGGCUUUCAUAUCAGCAAUUUUUGUCUUCUUUUAUUCUCCUACUUGGUGUUUAGUUAUACACUUAUAUUUAAAGUCCAUCUGGGGGACUGGUGAGAUGACUCAAAGGGUAAAUGAUGCUUUGUGACCUGAGUUCUGUUACUGGGACCUUGUCUUUGUUAGGGUUUUUAUUGCUGUGAGAAAGCACAAUGGUCAAAAGCAACUUGUGUGCUGAGGAUGGCAGGGGAGCCCCAUUGCCCUCCCAGCUUUUGUGUGGGUUCUGGGGAUCUGAGUUCUGGUCUUUGCCCUUAGCCAGCACAUGCUUUACCUGUUGAGCCAUCUCCCUAACCUUAAAAUAGUUUUUAAGCUUAUUUCCUUAGUAGUUCCAUCAUUUUUUUUGUA